GAUACAUCAGGAUAAAUUAUCAUAAGUUUCACAGUGUUUCAGUGCAAUAUUGAAAGCCCAGGCGUAUGUAACUGUGGUAUAUUUCAAAAGAUUCUCAUUGCAAGGCGUAGUUCACCCAAAAAUGAAAUUUCUAUCAUCGUUUUCUCAUCCUCAUGUCAUUCCGAACCUGUAAGACUUUUAUCUAUGGGACACCGAAGAACAUAUUUUGAAAAAUAUGUUUUUGUGUCCAUUCGAUGUUCAUUCUACACAAUGUCAUCUUUUGUGUUUCACAAAAGAAAGUCAUACUGGUUUGAAACAACACAAAGAUAAGUAAAUAAUGACACAGUGUUCAUUUUUUGGGUGAACUAGAUCAGAUCUGAGUGUAAUAUGUAAAUUAUACAAAAAUCAACAGUACAAAUACGCCAAGGGAAAAAUAUCAAGCGAUCAUGAUUUAAAGUGAUGGUUCCGCAAAAUAAUACAAACAAAAACUUCUCACCCAUCUUCAAACCUGUCUUUAUAUGUGGAACAAAAAAUUUUAGUUUCAGUCUAUAUUCACAUUCAUUGAACAGACCAAAAUGCAAUGAAAAUGAAUGGUGACCAAGAGUUUUGGUACAAAGUGAAUGAUGACAAAAAUGUCAUAUUUGGGUGAAUGGACCCUGUAAGUUCAUCCCUUAAGUCUCGUGCAUAAAACUGAUGUUCAACAUUGGUUUGAUGCGUAACAUUGCAUAUGUAUAAUCAUGUUGAGUCUUGCAGAUGAAAACAGCUGCUGAGUUGAUCAUCUACUCAAUGGAAAUGUUUUUUGUCGGUGUGAGUGCCUUUGAUUUUACAACUGGAGGGAGGGGUGGGUUACAGCCACAGUAAUGCUCAGGGCUGCGAUGUAGUUCAUCAUAUAUUUUUUUUCUCUUGUAUUCCCCCUAUUUAAGUUGGUUUUUGCCAUUAGAUGUGAUGCUGAUGUCAUCAUUUCCUGUCAAAGCAUACACCAGUGAUUCCAGUAUUCUUUAUCUCGACCACUUUAGAAGGCAAUGCUAAACCUGUCUGCGAAAUGAAGUUUAUUUAGUAUUGUUCUGUAACAGUUACUCUGUUCCCCUCCUUCUCUCCCAUAUUUUUUGACAAAGCUGAAAAGUUACCUGAAUGUCCUUGUGUUCUGGUUGUUAAUGUGACAUUUCUUUAAAUAAAAGAUCUGAGCAGUGUGUCAC
ensembl:lncRNA